rnacentral:rRNA from 1 species
GUCUACGGCCACGCUACUUUGAACAAGCCCAAUCCCGUCUGAUCUCGGAAGCUAAGCAGGGUCGGGCCUGGAUAGUACUUAGAUGGGAGACCACCUGGGAAGACCAGGUGCUGUAGGCA